rnacentral:rRNA from 1 species
AUAGAUAUGUAAUUGGGUGCAGAUUUUACCUACAAUUGGAUGGAUGUCACUUGAAGGGCCUAUACAAUGGAGUAUUGUUAUCUGUUGUUGCAUUAGAUGCUAACAUUAGAAUUUUUCCAUUGGCUUUUUGCAUAUAUCAUGCGGAGAACUAUGCCAGUUGAGGUUAUUUUUUGUUCUUUGCUCAAUGAAUUCAUUGGGCUUGAUGAUCAUAGGCCUGUGACCAUUAUUAAUGAUAGAAAAAAGGUCAUUUAUGGGGACUUGAAAAAUACUAGCCUAAUGCUAGUACUAGAUAUUGUGCUAGACAUAUCUUUGCUUAUUUGAAAUGUAGGUUUCUUGGUUUGAAUGUCAUGAGGUUGUUCUGAAAAGCUUGUAGGGCUACAAAUCAAUAUGACUUUGAAAGGGCAAUGUGUUGAAUUAGAGCUAAAGAUCAAAAUUGUUGUGAAUGGUUGAGAAAAAUACCAGCUACACAGUGGUCAAAAAGCAAGUUUGAUCACCAUAUGAAAUUUGACUAUGUUACAAAAAACAUGACCGAAUCUUUUAACAAGUGGGUAGAUGAGAUUAGGGCCAAGCCUGUCCUAAUCAUUUUGAGUGUAUUCAAAGACAGCUAAUGGUGAGAAUGUUGGAAAAAUAUCAACAAGGGGAAAAUUUACAAGACUAUUUGACACCAUAUGCUAAAGAGAGACUAAACCAAUCUUCAAAUGAAGUAAGAAGAGUUAGGGUCUUUGGAAGUGGAGAAGAGUUGUUGGAAUGUUGUCAAGCUAGUUGUAGAAACUUUCUGGUACAUAUUACAGAGUAUGUGCAAAAGUGGGAUUUGGCAAGUUAAUGGAUUGCCUUACAAACAUGAAAUGGCUACUAUUCUUCAUAAGGUAGGAUAACCUGACGAUUAUGUGCAUCACUAUCUGACCAAGGAAUUUUUUAUGAUGACACAUAUAGGGUAUAAAAUCCAGUUCCUGAUUAGUGUGCGCGGCCUGAAGUGGAAGUUGAACCUUCACCUGACAUAGAAGUUCUAGUUGGUAGGCCCAAAAGAACAAAAGAACCUAGUGAGGCCAAACCAACUAGUAUAAGGCUUACCAUCGAAUGUAAUACUUGCAAAUGGCUUGAGCACAACAAAAGGGGCUACCCCAAUUUUCCAAAAACCACAAGAAUCACAAUAGUAUAAUUUGAAUGUCAGUUUAAUUUUUUUUUUUUAAUUUCAAUGAGUGAAGUUAACAAAUAUUGAUUUUGAUGUUGUGUAGGGAAACAAUAGGACUACAUCAAGUGCAUAGGUUUAAGUUAAUUAUGAAAAUUUAAUUGAAAAGAAUUUUUUUUUUGUUCUUUUUCAUUAAAUUGCUUAAAAGUUGGUGAUGUUGGUUGUGUGCAGGGAAGCAAUAUGACUUCAUCAAGCGCACAUGUUUAAUUUAGUUAUAAAAAUUCAACUGGAAAGGAUUCUUUUCCUUUUUUGUGUUAUUUUUCAUUGCUUAAAUCCUGGUGAUGUUUCUUGUGUGCAGGCAAGCAAUGUCGCUUCAUCAUUUGCGUAGGUUUGAUUUUGUAAUUGAUGAAGAAGAUCACCUUUUAUAUAAUAUAUAUAUAUAUAUAUAUACCGGCACAGAAAAGAGGAGAUGUAACCAGGCGCUUAAGCGGCGCUGAAGUAACCAUGCUAUACUCCCAGGAAAAGCUCGAACGACCUUCAACAAAAGGGUAACCUUGUACCCGAACCGACACAGGGGGUAGGAGAGAAUAUACCUAGGGGCCGCGAGAACAACUCUCUCUGUAAGGAACUCCGGCAAAAUAGCCACGUAACUUCGGGAAAGGGGUGCCUCCUCAAAAAGGGGGGUCGCAGUGACCAGGCCGGGCGACUGUUUACCAAAAACACAGGUCUCCGCAAAGUCGUAAGACCAAUGGUAUGGGGGCCUGACGCCUGCCCAGUGCCGGAAGGUCAAGAAGUUGUGACCUGAUGACAGGGGAAGCCGGCGGACCGAAGCCCCGUGAACGGCGCCGUAACCUAUAACGGUCCUAAGGUAGCGAAAUUCCCUUGUCGGGUAGUUCCGACCCACGAAAGGCGUAACAUCUGGGCACUGUCUCGGAGAGAGGCUUCGGUGAAAUAGACAUGUCUGUGAAGAGCGGACGUACCUGCACGCGUGGACAGAAAGACCUAUGAAAGCUUCACUGUUCCCCCUGGGAUGGCUUUGGGCCUUUUCCUGCGCAGCUUAUGGUGGAAGGCGAAGAAGGCCUCCCUUCCGGGGGGGCCGAGCCAUCCAGUGAGAUCCACUCAUGGAAAGCUAGAAAUUCUAUACCUUGUGUCAGACUACGGGCCCAAGGACAUCCUCAGGUCAGACAGUUUCUAUGGGGCGUAGCCUCCCCAAAAGGUAACGGAGGCGUCGCAAAGGUUCUCCUCGGCCGACGGAGAUUGGCCCUCGAGUGCAAAGGCCAGAAGGGAGCUUCGACUGAAGACCCAACCCCGUCGAGCAGGGACGAAAGUCGGCCUUAGUGAUCCGACGGUGCCGAGUGGAAGGGCCGUCGCUCCAAACGGAUCAAAUGUUACUAGGGCAUAACAGCGCGUGAUCUUCCCCAAGACUUCACAUCGACGGGAAGGGUUUGGUCACCUCCGAUGUCGGCUCUUCGCCACCUGGGGCUGUAGUAAUGUUCCAAGGUUGGGCUGUUCGCCCAUUAAAGCGGUACUGAGCUGGGUUUCAGAAACGGUCGGAGACAGUUCGGUUCCAUAUCCGGUGUGGGCGUUAGAGCAUUGAGAGGACCUUUCCCUAGUACCUGAGAGGACCGCGAAGGACGCAGCCUCUGGUGUACCAGUUAUCGCUGCCCACGGUUAAACGCUGGGUAGCCAAGUGCGGAGCGGAUAACUGCUGAAAGCAUCUAAGUAGUAAGCCCACCCCAAGAUGAGUGCUCUCCUUAUUCCGACUUCCCAGAGCCUACGGUAGCACAGCCGAGACAGCGACGGGUUCUCCUGCCUGCGGGGAUGGAGCGACCAAGUUUUUGAGAAUUCAAGAGAAGGUCACGGCGAGACGAGCCGUUUUAUCGAUUACAUAGGUGUCAAGUGGAAGCUGCAGUGAUGUAUGCAGCUGAGCAUCCCUAAACUAGACCGGUAGACUUGAAC